rnacentral:rRNA from 1 species
GUGGGGAAUAUUGGACAAUGGGGGGAACCCUGAUCCAGCCAUGCCGCGUGUGUGAAGAAGGCCUUUUGGUUGUAAAGCACUUUAAGCGAGGAGGAGGCUACCGAGAUUAAUACUCUUGGAUAGUGGACGUUACUCGCAGAAUAAGCACCGGCUAACUCUGUGCCAGCAGCCGCGGUAAUACAGAGGGUGCAAGCGUUAAUCGCAUUUACUGGGCGUAAAGCGCGCGUAGGUGGCCAAUUAAGUCAAAUGUGACAUCCCCGAGCUUAACUUGGGAAUUGCAUUCGAUACUGGUUGGCUAGAGUAUGGGAGAGGAUGGUAGAAUUCCAGGUGUAGCGGUGAAAGGCGUAGAGAUCCGGAGGAAUACCGAUGGCGAAGGCAGCCAUCUGGCCUAAUACUGACCCUGAGGUGCGAAAGCAUGGGGAGCAAACAGGAUUAGAUACCCGAGUAGUCC